rnacentral:lncRNA from 1 species
UUGUAAUUUAAUUGCAUUAUUGAAGAAUAAUUCUAAAAUUAUCCGUUGGUAAUCCAUUAGCAUUCCACUGUUAUUAGCAAUGGAAAUUGUCCGUUACUAAAAUUCCGUUUGUAAGGCUUCCUUUUCUAGUAGUGAUAGUUGAAAAUGAAUUUGGACAACAUGAGUUUUAGAAAAUGGAGGCCAAACAUGGACUAAAUACUACCAUUAACAACCAACAACAUAUUACUGUUUUACCGCACAUAAAAUAUUACAACUUCAUGAUGUACGUAAUUAAAAUAUUAGCACAAGUGACAUACUAAAAUAUUACAGUUUAACUACUAUGACAUAAAAUAAUAUUAAGAAUUCAAUAAUAAAUAAAACUUAUAAACAAGAAUACUACACGGUUCAGCAUUAUUAUGGCAUAUCUAUGUCUACGAGAGACGAGAGAAGAAUGUAUUUACUUAUAUUUGGAGUUUAUAAUUAUAAUGAGACACAUAAAUAUAACCAUUUUACAUCAAGGUUGCCAAUGCCUAUAAAGGAUGAGGAAAAUCAACAAAAGGAAAUGAACAAUUCAUGAAAAUAUUCCAAUUAUAUUCACUAAAAUCACCCACAAUAUAUUCUUCAAUAUUAGCAAAUAUCCUCAAGUAUCACUCUUCUCCAACAAUUUUAACUCAAUUUAUUCUAUGAUUUUAGAAAUAAAAUUCAUAUGGCUCCACUAACAUACACUACAACUCAUUGACAACAUGAUUCUCGUUUGGCUGCCAUUAAUUUCCAUUCCAUUACAUUUCAUUUUUCUCUCUCCUAUUUUCUACCACACAAUCUUCCAUAAAAU